GGCCGCCUGGCGAAAUGGCAUCGCGUCUGACUACGAAAGUGUUAAUCAGGAGAUUGCAGGUUCGACCCCUGCGGUGGUCA
rnacentral:tRNA from 1 species